AUGGACAGGAAUGGGCCUCCGCUGGGAACACACAAAGGCCAAGGCGGAGGUGGGGAGGUGCCUGUAGAGCGAUUGGAUUCGUAUAAAGAAAAGCAUCGUUUGCCUUGCCCAAAUCCUGCCGCAGAUGCCAAGUUUCAUAACAACAUAGAUCCUGCAAGUCUUGAGACGCUAGUGCAGGAGAAGAAAGACGAGCUGUUCCAUCUGCUACUUCAGAUGGAUCUUCACAAUGGCUCGUGUGAAAAAAGUGCCGAGGAGAACAAAGCCAUACUGAGGCUGCUUUGGCAAUUCCGUGCUGAGACGCGAGAUAAUGGUACCUUGUAAGUAGGCUCUA
rnacentral:lncRNA from 1 species